CCUACGGGCGGCAGCAGUGAGGAAUAUUGGUCAAUGGACGAGAGUCUGAACCAGCCAAGUAGCGUGAAGGAUGACUGCCCUAUGGGUUGUAAACUUCUUUUAUAUGGGAAUAAAAUGUUCCACGUGUGGGAUUUUGUAUGUACCAUAUGAAUAAGGAUCGGCUAACUCCGUGCCAGCAGCCGCGGUAAUACGGAGGAUCUGAGCGUUAUCCGGAUUUAUUGGGUUUAAAGGGAGCGUAGGUGGAUUGUUAAGUCAGUUGUGAAAGUUUGCGGCUCAACCGUAAAAUUGCAGUUGAAACUGGCAGUCUUGAGUACAGUAGAGGUGGGCGGAAUUCGUGGUGUAGCGGUGAAAUGCUUAGAUAUCACGAAGAACUCCGAUUGCGAAGGCAGUUCACUGGACUGCAACUGACACUGAGGCUCGAAAGUGUGGGUAUCAAACAGGAUUAGAUACCCGGGUAGUC
rnacentral:rRNA from 1 species